rnacentral:rRNA from 1 species
GUCUACAGCCAUACCACUGUGACUGUGCCUGAUCUUGGCUGAUUUCGGAAACUAAGCAGGGCCGGGCCUAGUUAAUACUUGGAAGGGAGAAAAUCCUGGUGUUAAAAAAA